AUUGAACGCUGGCGGCAGGCCUAACACAUGCAAGUCGAACGAGUGGCGGACGGGUGAGUAAUGUCUGGGAAACUGACUGAUGGAGGGGGAUAACUACUGGAAACGGUAGCUAAUACCGUCUACAAUCGGAUGUGCCCAGAUAGGAUUAGCUAGUAGGUGGGGUAACGGCUCACCUAGGCGACGAUCCCUAGCUGGUCUGAGAGGAUGAACAGCCACACUGGAACUGAGACACGGUCCAGACUCCUACGGGAGGCAGCAGUGGGGAAUAUUGCACAAUGGGCGAAAGCCUGAUGCAGCCAUGCCGCGUGUGUGAAGAAGGCCUUCGGAUUGUAAAGUACUUUAAGCGGGGAGGCGUUACCCGCAGAAGAAGCACCGGCUAACUCCGUGCCAGCCGCCGCGGUAAUAC
rnacentral:rRNA from 1 species